rnacentral:rRNA from 1 species
CUUAGGCGUGUGACUGCGUACCUUUUGUAUAAUGGGUCAGCGACUUAUAUUCUGUAGCAAGGUUAACCGAAUAGGGGAGCCGAAGGGAAACCGAGUCUUAACUGGGCGUUAAGUUGCAGGGUAUAGACCCGAAACCCGGUGAUCUAGCCAUGGGCAGGUUGAAGGUUGGGUAACACUAACUGGAGGACCGAACCGACUAAUGUUGAAAAAUUAGCGGAUGACUUGUGGCUGGGGGUGAAAGGCCAAUCAAACCGGGAGAUAGCUGGUUCUCCCCGAAAGCUAUUUAGGUAGCGCCUCGUGAAUUCAUCUCCGGGGGUAGAGCACUGUUUCGGCAAGGGGGUCAUCCCGACUUACCAACCCGAUGCAAACUGCGAAUACCGGAGAAUGUUAUCACGGGAGACACACGGCGGGUGCUAACGUCCGUCGUGAAGAGGGAAACAACCCAGACCGCCAGCUAAGGUCCCAAAGUCAUGGUUAAGUGGGAAACGAUGUGGGAAGGCCCAGACAGCCAGGAUGUUGGCUUAGAAGCAGCCAUCAUUUAAAGAAAGCGUAAUAGCUCACUGGUCGAGUCGGCCUGCGCGGAAGAUGUAACGGGGCUAAACCAUGCACCGAAGCUGCGGCAGCGACGCUGAUGCGUUGUUGGGUAGGGGAGCGUUCUGUAAGCCUGCGAAGGUGUGCUGUGAGGCAUGCUGGAGGUAUCAGAAGUGCGAAUGCUGACAUAAGUAACGAUAAAGCGGGUGAAAAGCCCGCUCGCCGGAAGACCAAGGGUUCCUGUCCAACGUUAAUCGGGGCAGGGUGAGUCGACCCCUAAGGCGAGGCCGAAAGGCGUAGUCGAUGGGAAACAGGUUAAUAUUCCUGUACUUGGUGUUACUGCGAAGGGGGGACGGAGAAGGCUAUGUUGGCCGGGCGACGGUUGUCCCGGUUUAAGCGUGUAGGCUGGUUUUCCAGGCAAAUCCGGAAAAUCAAGGCUGAGGCGUGAUGACGAGGCACUACGGUGCUGAAGCAACAAAUGCCCUGCUUCCAGGAAAAGCCUCUAAGCAUCAGGUAACAUCAAAUCGUACCCCAAACCGACACAGGUGGUCAGGUAGAGAAUACCAAGGCGCUUGAGAGAACUCGGGUGAAGGAACUAGGCAAAAUGGUGCCGUAACUUCGGGAGAAGG